AGGUAUCUGAGAACAAAAGGCGGUAACAAAAAGGAUGGAUUUGAUUUGGAUCUCACCUAUGUCACAGGCACUCUACAGAAAUCCCAUAAAAGAAGCUGCCAUAUUUCUGGACACAAAGCAUCCCGAUCAUUACAGAGUUUACAAUCUCUGCAGUCAAAAAGGCUACGAUCCACUGUUCUUCCAUUACAGAGUGCAACGAGUGAUGAUUGACGACCAUAACGUACCGUCAUUAGACCAACCCACUCGUUAGGACUCCCCCUAUCACUAGUAAUGCCCCAACACACCAGGAGGAUGAAGACUAGCGCACUCUUUCUCCGAUACAUGUGAAGUCAGCCACCGCUUUUUUUCGAGCUGCUGCUGAUGCAGCAUUGCCAAGCAGCCAGCACAUUUGGAGGAAAGCGCAGCGGCAGGUGAACCCGAGGAACCUGAGGAAAGUGGUGGGAAAUCUCGAGCCAGGUCAGACCUUGGGUUGGGUUUGGGCAGAGAACCUAAGCUCUUAUUCACAUAUUGAACUUUGUGUUAUUGUGUUCUCAGUGACAUGUUGAACUACACUGCCAGUUUGAGGGAAUAUCAUUGCCAUCCACUGCAAAGGAGGCAAAGGUGUGGGAAAGGGCAAUGGCAGUGAUCUGAAGGUGCGGAUCAUAGUGAAAAGAGAGCAGGUGUUCCAGUGUGUCUGUGCCACGCAGACGAACUGUAGGCUGUUCCCAGAUACUGAAAACAAUGCCGUGGUGAUCAGCUUUCAGGAAGGGCCAGUGGUUUGUGGUGAUGUUAAGGUCAUGUUUGAAUCCAGGGCUGGUCUUCCAAAGGGGUAUGAGGACUAUCCUUUCUAUUUCUGGUUCAACACUUCAUUUGUAGAGAACAACAGGCUCUAUCUGUCAAGGGAGGAACUGGACAACCCACGUAAGUCCAAAACCUGGGACAUCUACAAGGAGGACUUUGGUGUGACCGUGUCUUUCAGUGACCCUGCACUUAUGUAGCAGACGACACUUGCUUGUGUAUCUCAACUAAAACCCUUAAGCCCUGCACAAGGUCUAAAUCUUUGCUCUAAUGUAGGUUUUCACACACUUAUAAAAGGUGAGUGAUGUUUAGGGAUUGGAUUCGGGCAUAUAGUGCCCCUAAAGCUAUAGCUAUAGCUAUAUAACCUCAACUUUAUGUCCAUCCCCCAUCUUCACUGUAAGAGCUUUUUACUGAGCCGUGCAUACAUCACAAUAUUAUGCAUUUGUUUGUCAAAUGUUUUUUUGUCUUUAAAUGAAGACAAAUGUUUGUGUCAGUUUAGCAUAUUAUGCUUCCAAAAUGUAAAUCUUACUCUUUAAGCUUGAGUGUACAUCAAAUAAAGCAAUCGAGGCUGCCACUGUGAAAUGGUCAAUGGUUAUGUGUGCAGAAACAUUUUUUUGUAGUACACAUGUAUUGAAAUAAAUACUAAUGUCUCUGUAA